UGACUGCGGUGGGCUGCGGCUGUGGGCGGGAGGAGAGGGGGGGGGGAACCCGCCCGCCCGCCGGCGCGCUGCCCUUGACUUGGGACUGUGCAGCCUGAUUAGGCCUCUUGCUCCUGGCCUCACCCAGUGGCAUCUUGGCCCCUCAGAUGUUCCAAGGGCACGUUUUGGCCGAUUGGAGGUUAGGGGGCUGGGGUUUUUGAUUCGGGGUUUGGCAGCCGCCAUUACGUUCCCCGGGGCCAGCCCUGGGGUCUUUAGCGUUGACACUACUGCCAUCUGCUGGUGUAACACCAUUAUAGCGACAGGGCUGCCAGACAAGGAAAACGGCCUUCUUGGAGUUUAACAGACUCUGGAGGAGAAAGUGGACUUUCUCAAAAGACAAGGACUUUGUUCAACUCUGCCACACGUAAAUGCGAUCCAGGUGCAAGUCAAGUCAUCACCCAGCGAAACCAUCCGAGAACCAACAAAAAAGUGACCUAGCACUGAUCUGAGCCUUGAAGUAAGUCAGGGAUUCCAAGAGAUGAAAAGGAGUGACGGAGGCAUUCCAGACAUAAGGAACAGCCUGUGCAAAGAUAUGGGAGCAGGAAUGAAAUAUCCUGUAUCAGUAGGCCAGUUUGGCCAGAACUUAGAGUACAUGAGAGGAAGCAACAUGAAAUUAGUGUUGGAAGAUAAGCAGGAGCCAAAUAGGGAAGGGUUUAAAAUGCUAAACAGCUUGGAGGGAGCCACAUAACCUUCCCUGGGCAUUCAUAUUGAUUCAUCUCUGUAGACAACUCCCCAUUUUUCUUCUUAUCAGAAUAAUUUCUUACUCAUAACAUGAUUCUUGAGAAUUUUCCAUCCCAAAUGAUCUGACUUGCCUUGAAAACUUGCGGAUCCUAUCCAUCCUUCCCCUGAACUCUUUGAAAUCUGCCCUCCCCUAAUGUCGGAUGCAUGACAUACUUUCUCUGGACUUCUCCAACACCUGGAAGAUGCAGUGGUUACUUUCUCCUCAAGUUGCCAUCAUUGCUCCCCUAGCAACCAGCUUCUCCUUAUUGGCUCACACAGCUCAUAAAAUACCUGGAAGGGGUGAACACUAUCCGGGAGGCUCAGCAGAUAUGAUCUGUGACCUGUGGGCCCACCCAGAAGGAGACACAUACGCUCCUAAGGUAAUGGAACACACUAAGAACCGUGUGGUAGGCGAUCUCGGUGCUGGGAUUCUAAGGGCAC
rnacentral:lncRNA from 1 species